rnacentral:tRNA from 1 species
CGGGGCGUAGCGCAGCUUGGUAGCGCACUUGCAUGGGGUGCAAGGGGUCGAAGGUUCAAAUCCUUUCGCCCCGA